rnacentral:lncRNA from 1 species
AGCCCACACCCUGCUUUAAAGUUGCAGCAGAUCCCCCAGCCUACAGUCCAUGUCUAGUGUCAGGACCCAUGACUGCCUCCAUGCUGACUGGAGCGUCCUCCCCCCCCCCCCCCCCAAGCAGAAGCAGAUGCUGGGGGAGUGUCUGUUCCCACUUAUCCAAGCAAUGCAUUCAAACGUGGCUGCAAAAAUUAUGGGGAUGCUGCUGGAAAUGGACAACUCUGAGCUGCUGCACAUGCUGGAGUCCCCUGAGUCUCUCCGUUCUAAGGUGGAUGAAGACGCUGUGGCAGUCCUGCAGGCUCAUCAUGCCAAGAAAGAAGCUGCCCAGAGGUGGGCACUGUUGCUGCUGAUACCUCUUAG